CUUGCUAGGAUAAAAUAAAAAUUAUUAUCAAUUAUAAUAUUAACAAUAUUAAGCCUCUUUUUGGCUUCAAACAA
rnacentral:tRNA from 1 species